rnacentral:rRNA from 1 species
GACGAACGCUGGCGGCGUGCUUAACACAUGCAAGUCGAACGGAAAGGCCCUGCUUUUGUGGGGUGCUCGAGUGGCGAACGGGUGAGUAACACGUGAGUAACCUGCCCUUGACUUUGGGAUAACUUCAGGAAACUGGGGCUAAUACCGGAUAGGAGCUCCUGCUGCAUGGUGGGGGUUGGAAAGUUUCGGCGGUUGGGGAUGGACUCGCGGCUUAUCAGCUUGUUGGUGGGGUAGUGGCGUACCAAGGCUUUGACGGGUAGCCGGCCUGAGAGGGUUACCGGCCACAUUGGGACUGAGGUACGGCCCAGACUCCUACGGGAGGCAGCAGUGGGGAAUAUUGCACAAUGGGCGGAAGCCUGAUGCAGCAACGCCGCGUGCGGGAUGACGGCCUUCGGGUUGUAAACCGCUUUCGCCUGUGACGAAGCGUGAGUGACGGUAAUGGGUAAAGAAGCACCGGCUAACUACGUG